GAUGCACUGUGGAUAGUAUUUAAUGUCCAAGAAUAUAUUUUACCAUUUAUUUCUUUGUCUUUACAGCCUCUUAAUUGGUUUUCACAUUGAUCCCUCACACUCUCGAACGGAUGUGUGCAAGUUUUAUUCUAAGUUCCAUUGUUGGAUUAUUCCAGAGUUGCUGUUCUUCCCAUCUAGUUGGUCGUCUACUUCGGUCUUGUUGGAAUGUUCGUCGGCACCAGUACAAAAGAGGAGUGGCUUAAGGUCACAUGGGACAUUAUAGUGCAAGAAGCAUUCCUAUUGGUUAAUCUGUUGUAUUAUGGUUAACCCUCUAGAGUACAUGUUAUAUUUUUUAUUUAAAUAUUUAGAAUAUCCUUUCAUUGCUGCUGAG